rnacentral:rRNA from 1 species
UUUUAGUGCUUUAAGUUUUAUGGAAACACUUAAUACCAUUUCGAACUUAUAUAGUGAAAUAUAAACUAAGAUUUUUUGUACUUCAAGGGAUACUUUGCGGGAACUAAAUCUUUGUGCUAAG